GCAUCUUUAGUUGGUGUCGGUCCGUGGCUCUCGCUGGUGCUACUCUCGUUGACACGUCCGCAAAAUGCCCAGCGAGACCUCCAACAUCUUCACCACCUACUUCAUCCUCAUCUUCCUGCUCUUCCUCCUCUGGCUCUUGUACUCGGGAAUUUUCUAAACGAUGGACGCGUUACCUGCCGGCCGAGAGGCGUGACGGAGGCGGCGGCGAACCGCACGCAAACACCCUUUGACUACCCCCGCGCCGAAAUGCAGCCCCGGCCACCCUCUCCGCCACCUAAUUAGAUAAUAUUCCACGUCCGCAACUAACCCUGCCCGAGCGCAAACAGCAGAUUUACUUUGCUUCAUUAGACGAACCCUCUCUGUCAUUUUCAGUCGCGGUCGACGACCUUUUCCUUUGAAGUGACCAUUUUCCAUCUCUCAAAUUACGCACAGCUCUUUUCGCUCGGGCACUCUAUUAUAUUAGAAAAGAAAAUAUGUAUUCAAUUAUAUUGCAUUUUUAUAAAAGUGUAUUUGCAUAUUUUGCACGUUCAGCAACCACUAACGAAUUCAAUUAUGUAUAAUUAGGAAAAUAAAACAAAAA